AUUGAACGCUGGCGGCAGGCCUAACACAUGCAAGUCGAACGAGUAGCGGACGGGUGAGUAAUUUCUGGGAAACUGCCCGAUGGAGGGGGAUAACUACUGGAAACGGUAGCUAAUACCUCAUACCAUCAUAUGUGCCCAGAUGGGAUUAGCUAGUAGGUGGUGUAACGGCUCACCUAGGCGACGCUCCCUAGCUGUUCUGAGAGGAUGACCAGCAACACUGGAACUGAGACACGGUCCAGACUCCUACGGGAGGAAGCAGUGGGGAAGAUUGCACAAUGGGCGCAAGCCUGAUGCAGCCAUGCCGCGUGUAUGAAGAAGGCCGUCGGGUUGUAAAGUACUUUCAGCGGGGAGGCGUUACCCGCAGAAGAAGCACCGGCUAACUCCGUGCCAGCAGCCGCGGUAAUAC
rnacentral:rRNA from 1 species